CUGGGGUUAAAUAUAUGUUGUGUUAAAGAGAAGUCGGGUAUAAUUUAGUUGGUGGAAUAAUUUCAGACAGUUUGUAUAAUUUUUAGUGUGGGCAACAAUGUGUUCUGGGACUUGUGUGAGCUGUAAAUCUAGCGAUAUUACUGUUCUUUAGAUGUUUAGGGUGGUUUGGGUGUUAGUCAAACUGGGUGAACCAUAUACUAGAAAAGUGAGUAGUUAUAUUAUCAGAAUAAUUUAGCUGUUUCAAGGGAUGAAAUGUAGGAAAACUGUGCCUGAAUUUCCUUCCAAACAUUAUACCAUUGUCUUCAAGUGCAAACGAGUUAAAAAAAAUAAAACCUAACAAGUAUUAACCCUAAUAAGAACUACAAAAAAUGAAGGUAAUAUACGACUUAGAAACCAUUCUACAUCGUGAAAAGGAAAACCGGAAGUCCCAGCGUAAAACGUUCUCUUCCGGGUCAUUUUACGUUUUUCUGUAUUAGACGUUGAAUAAUUUGCUCGUACGGGGAACUUUGGAAGUCUAUCAAUGUGUACAUUUUUGGCAUAAGUAUUCACUUUUGCAACUGUACGUGUAAGUUGUUGGAGAGCAGCUUAUCACUACUUGUUGUAGUUAUUUUUUUUGUUGUGAGUAAAUGACGACCUGAUCACUUUUCUCGAAUUUGUGAUGGUGUUUUAUGUCAGACAGAGCACGGCCUGGCAGGGGACAGGAAGUUACUAGUUUAGAACAAAAGGUUUGUUUUGAAACCCACUUCGCUGAUGAGGUGUUGCACGGAUUGAUGAAAAGAAGACAUGAAUAAAUUCUAAUUUCACUGUUGUGCUUUUGAUCGGGCAAAUUAUUUGGGUGUGUAGCAAAUAUUGGCAAGCCACCCCAAAGGAAAUAUUUCGUGAGAGCCUGGCAAGAUGUUACACAGGGGCAGAAGAGCCAUUGGGCUCUGGCAUGGUGCCUUGACCAGUAAAGGGGGAGUUUAAAAAAAAAAAAAAAAAAAAAUAGUGGUGCAGAGGGUGUGAAGCCCUUACUUUCAACUUGUGGAUUAGAUUGGAUCCAUGCCCACGUGGUAUAGGGUAUUCUCCAGCUGGAGACAGCAUUGCUUUAAGAGGAGGCUGCUUUUGCAGAAAUCUUGGUUAACCGAGGAAAAGCACAUGCUGAUUCAGCUGAACAGUGAGCCAUUGAAGAGAAUUGCUAAGGGUGUGGAGGGAGUCGUGGCUCAAGUAUGUAAUGGAUUUACUAAUGUUGAGCUUUAAGCUAAAAGACUACUCUUGCAGUUGAGGAAUGGUGAAAUGUUUGUGACCGAGUUUGUGAACCCGCAAAAACCUUACUUGAUCUACAGACUGACUUAAGACGUCAGAGUGAGAAACUAAGGCAGGAAAGUGAAUAUCAACGAGGGUGAACAUGAAGGUGUUGCCCAACAGAUGGUGCUGACCAUUACUUAUGGGUUUCUUCAGUAGCUGUAAGGCAGGAAUUCCAAAUCAGUGGUCAGACUGGGAAGAGAGAAAUUGUUUGGACAAACUUUUAACCCUGGAGUAAACCUCUGACACAGUAGAAGUUGAGAGUGGAUUUGAUCCUUCCCCAGUUGAAAAUUUACCUUCAAGAACAGUUCAGCUGAUUUGUUCCAAGUUCAAGUUUUGUAGCGCUAAUAGUCUAAGCACUUAAAUUUAUAAAUGGUAAAGUACGAAAUGCAAGAAAAUGGUCCAACGGUUAAA